rnacentral:rRNA from 1 species
UACGUAGGGUGCGAACGUUGUCCGGAUUUACUGGGCGUAAAGAGUAUGUAGGUGGCUUUUUAAGUGAGUGAUUAAAGACCAACGCUUAACGUUGGAAUCGUUAUUCAUACUGGAAAGCUGGAGGAUGGCAGGGGUGCAUGGAACUUUGAGUGUAGGAGUGAUAUCCGUAGAUAUUCAAAGGAACACCAAUGGCGAAGGCAGUGCACUGGGCCAUAUCUGACACUGAGAUACGAAAGUGUGGGGAGCAAACGGG